CGGAGGGUGCGAGCGUUGUUCGGAAUCACUGGGCGUAAAGCGCGUGUAGGCGGCCCACUAAGUCUGAUGUGAAGGCCCGGGGCUCACCCCCGGAAGUGCAUUGGAAACUGGUGGACUCGAGUCCCGGAGAGGAGAGUGGAAUUCCUGGUGUAGCGGUGAAAUGCGUAGAUAUCAGGAGGAACACCGGUGGCGAAGGCGGCUCUCUGGACGGUGACUGACGCUGAGACGCGAAAGCGUGGGGAGCAAACAGGAUUAGAUACCCUGGUAGUCCACGCCGUAAACGAUGAGCACUAGGUGUCGCGGGUAUUGACCCCUGCGGUGCCGACGCUAACGCAUUAAGUGCUCCGCCUGGGGAAUACGGCCGCAAGGUUA
rnacentral:rRNA from 1 species